UACGUAGGUGGCAAGCGUUGUCCGGAUUUACUGGGCGUAAAGAGCGCGCAGGCGGUCGUUCAAGUCGCGUGUGAAAGCCCCCGGCUCAACUGGGGAGGGUCACGCGAUACUGAUCGACUCGAAGGCAGGAGAGGGUAGUGGAAUUCCCGGUGUAGUGGUGAAAUGCGUAGGUAUCGGGAGGAACACCAGUGGCGAAGGCGACUACCUGGCCUGUUUCUUGACGCUGAGGCGCGAAAGCUAGGGGAGCGAACAGG
rnacentral:rRNA from 1 species